rnacentral:rRNA from 1 species
UUUGAUCAUUGGCUCAGGACGAACGCUGGCGGCGUGCUUAACACAUGCAAGUCGAACGAUGAAGCCUAGCUUGCUAGGUGGAUUAGUGGCGAACGGGUGAGUAAUACGUGAGUGACCUACCUUUGACUCUGGGAUAAGCCUGGGAAACUGGGUCUAAUACCGGAUACGACCAAUCUCCGCAUGGGGUGUUGGUGGAAAGCGUUAUGGAGUGGUUUUAGAUGGGCUCACGGCCUAUCAGCUUGUUGGUGAGGUAAUGGCUUACCAAGGCGACGACGGGUAGCCGGCCUGAGAGGGUGACCGGCCACACUGGGACUGAGACACGGCCCAGACUCCUACGGGAGGCAGCAGUGGGGAAUAUUGCACAAUGGGCGCAAGCCUGAUGCAGCGACGCCGCGUGAGGGAUGACGGCCUUCGGGUUGUAAACCUCUGUUAGCACCGAAGAAGCGAAAGUGACGGUAGGUGCAGAGAAAGCGCCGGCUAACUACGUGCCAGCAGCCGCGGUAAUACGUAGGGCGCGAGCGUUGUCCGGAAUUAUUGGGCGUAAAGAGCUUGUAGGCGGUUGGUCGCGUCUGCUGUGAAAGGCUGGGGCUUAACCCUGGUUUUGCAGUGGGUACGGGCUAACUAGAGUGCAGUAGGGGAGACUGGAAUUCCUGGUGUAGCGGUGGAAUGCGCAGAUAUCAGGAGGAACACCGAUGGCGAAGGCAGGUCUCUGGGCUGUAACUGACGCUGAGAAGCGAAAGCAUGGGGAGCGAACAGGAUUAGAUACCCUGGUAGUCCAUGCCGUAAACGUUGGGCACUAGGUGUGGGGGACAUUCCACGUUUUCCGCGCCGUAGCUAACGCAUUAAGUGCCCCGCCUGGGGGAGUACGGCCGCAAGGCUAAAACUCAAAGAAAUUGACGGGGGCCCGCACAAGCGGCGGAGCAUGCGGAUUAAUUCGAUGCAACGCGAAGAACCUUACCAAGGCUUGACAUAUACUGGACUGCGUCAGAGAUGGCGUUUCCCUUCGGGGCUGGUAUACAGGUGGUGCAUGGUUGUCGUCAGCUCGUGUCGUGAGAUGUUGGGUUAAGUCCCGCAACGAGCGCAACCCUCGUUCUAUGUUGCCAGCACGUGAUGGUGGGGACUCAUAGGAGACUGCCGGGGUCAACUCGGAGGAAGGUGGGGAUGACGUCAAAUCAUCAUGCCCCUUAUGUCUUGGGCUUCACGCAUGCUACAAUGGCCGGUACAGAGGGUUGCGAUACUGUGAGGUGGAGCUAAUCCCUAAAAGCCGGUCUCAGUUCGGAUUGGGGUCUGCAAACUCGACCCCUUGAAGUCGGAGUCGCUAGUAUUCGCUGAU